AAGAGAUUAUCUUGUGAGACUUGGACAUUGGCCUAGCCUAGACCCGACUAGAGGAACGUUGGGUCUAGGCGAAGCCUGGGUUUUGUGGACUUUGAGAUCUGUUCUUACGCCCCUGUGAUGGUAGUAGGAAUCUAGGACAGGUAAGAAAUCAGGGAUCUCGUCUGACGACCUUGUUCUAAUACUUAGGUAAUGUUUACGUUAUGUGGGUAGUUGAAAAUGUACAUUUCAAAGUUUAUUAAAUAAACUCCGCGUCACGAAACAAGUCUCGGUGCUCAUUGUCAUUUGGUAAUGGCGGUCUUAUUGUCAUUUGUGUAAGGCGCUGUCACUUUUAGUUCAGGUUUUAGCCGUCUAGUCCGAAGUCUAGUAUUAUAUGAAGAUAACAAUGUAAUAUGGUGUUACUCAAAGAUAAAGCUAACGAAGGUCAAAACAACCGAAUCUCAGAAAUGGGAGAUUUAAAUCCAUAAAAUCUCCUACAAAAACAAUGAAAACACCAAAACACAAAGUAAGAAAAGUCCACAGAGUCGUGUAACUACAACAAAAAAGUUUUACGACUCUACUUUCGCACUGUAAACGUUUUCAACUAAAAUCAUGAAAGAAAAUAAAAGAAUUCCAGGUAAGAGAUAACAAGUUACACCUGCGGGAGGCGGUGUAACUAGCUAUAACUAGGUAAGAGUAGAAGCCUUUGUUCUUUCGAACGUGGCACGGCUCGGACGAAAAUUAUCUUUUUACUUUUUUUUUCCGCGUAGCUCCCUGUGCGGACCCGAGCAGGUAGACUGAAUACAAUAAUGUUGCGUACACAGUUACAUGGUCUUGGAAUUACCUUUUAGAGUCUCUACACACGGCAUAUUUAAUACGCGCAGACGACGCUCAUUAACAAGAUUCAGUUGGAGCUACCAACACCUUCACAUACAUUAUACAUUCGCCUGCUGAAUAGAUUAAAACGUUAAGGUAAGUUUAUAUUCAACUUUUUUAUUACGUACCAGUUGACGGAACAAGUACGUUGUUUCUGAAUAAUUCGAGUGGCAUAGUAUUUAUUGUCUACAAAAAACAUCCUCUUGGAUGAGCCUUAUACAAAUAAGUCCUGCUAUGUGCUUUUAAAACACAUUCAAAUAUAAACGUGGUACAUCGACGUAGGGGUAAAGAAAGAGGCCGCAGUGGGGAGCUUAACCUAAGCCUCAUCCUGAGAGGAUGAAACACCUAGAGAACUUAGAAGAAUCUUACGCGACUCUAUUGUGAAAUACAGAUUUUAGCUAAGGGAUAUUUGAAUUAAGCUGCCUGAGUGGCUGUCUGGACUUCGAUAAUCGACUUAUGACCGUACAUUUGUAUUAGUCACAAGUGAUACAGAUUUGAAGCGCUCAUUUCAUGCGCUUGUUUCUCGUUUGUAUCGAUCAAUAUGGAUCUCAACGACGUUAACGCAAACUGCGCGUAUAAUUAUACGUCGUGUGUAUAGGCCUUUAUAUACGAGGGUGGAAGGCGAAACUGUUUGCAAUGCCAGUUAACCCUUACUGAGCCAGGGCGAUAAUAAAAACCAGUGAGCUUACUGAGCAAAAAACAGUAUUGACAAUUACACAAAAAACUGACAAAUAACGAGUGAGAAUUCAGAAUAAAAGGUUUACCGUUUUUGAUUUAAAAAUAGCAGCGCUAAUAUACAGUGACCCUUCCUAAUUAUAUCUAAUUCUUGAAUCAUCCACUGUUGUUAUAGAUUUUUCUAAUUUGCAUUAGACCUAACAAAAAAAAGAAACACAAAUUACCUACUCAGUAUUAAAAUACGGUAUUUAAGAUUAUACAAGACUUUCAACAAUACAAGAGUGUAUAGGCAUCUUCUACUAGGGGCAAGUGUGCUCUAACCAAGACAUCAUUGCUUUCCACCAGGCAUGAUUGUAGACAAGGAUAAGUCUCUUGCACAUAAUUUUUUUUUUUUAAAUAGGUACAUUGAAAGGAAUACAAUUUAAUCUGCCUUAUUAGUUUUGUGUUUAGCUUAGGAUAUGAAGCCCUGAGUUUGAUUGUAAUGAAAUUGGUUAGGAUUCAAAAUACUAAACUUUUCUAUCUUUAAAGAUAUAUCCACAAGCAGCCCUAAGUUGAUGGUAUUACAUCCUGUCAUAGAGCAUGUUAAGUCAUUGGUCCCAAUCAAUACCCUUAAGUGUUUAACUGGCUAUAGCUUGUUACAGAGUCAAAAACAUUAUCACCCUUGGAGUGGGUUGAAAUGAUGAGUAUAAGCACCUUAUCCCAACUCCCCUAAGGGGGGGCUUAUAGGUCAUUAAAAUAUUCUGAUAGCAUUGUUAUAAUAUUUACUGGACAUCAUUUUUAAGUGUAAAAAAAUGCUAAGGCGUGCCAAGAUGCAAUUAAGUCAACAUGACAAGAAUUAAAUUGAAUGUAAUCACAGUGCCAUACAAAUGAUCUUAUUGUAUAAUCUGCGGAGGUUAUCAAAGUGUUGCCAGAGACAUCUUGUGACCAAGGUCGACAACUAUUUCCUUAUUCAAAAACAUCUGCAGCUGCUUUUGUUAUGAAUAUUUGUAAUAAUGUAGAU
rnacentral:lncRNA from 1 species